rnacentral:rRNA from 1 species
GAUGAACGCUAGCUACAGGCUUAACACAUGCAAGUCGAGGGGAAACGACAUCGAAAGCUUGCUUUUGGUGGGCGUCGACCGGCGCACGGGUGAGUAACGCGUAUCCAACCUGCCCACCACUUGGGGAUAACCUUGCGAAAGUAAGACUAAUACCCAAUGAUAUCCCACGAAGGCAUCGGAAUGGGGAUUAAAGAUUUAUCGGUGAUGGAUGGGGAUGCGUCUGAUUAGCUUGUUGGCGGGGUAACGGCCCACCAAGGCUACGAUCAGUAGGGGUUCUGAGAGGAAGGUCCCCCACAUUGGAACUGAGACACGGUCCAAACUCCUACGGGAGGCAGCAGUGAGGAAUAUUGGUCAAUGGGCGAGAGCCUGAACCAGCCAAGUAGCGUGCAGGACGACGGCCCUAUGGGUUGUAAACUGCUUUUAUAAGGGAAUAAAGUGGGUCACGUGUGACUUUUUGCAUGUACCUUAUGAAUAAGGACCGGCUAAUUCCGUG